GAUGUUGCCCACAAUCACUGAAACAUUGUCCAUGAUCGCAGAGACCUUGUCGAAGAUGAGAGAGAUGUUGUCCACGAUCAGAGAGACAUUGUCCAUGAUCUCAGAGACUUCGUCCACAAUCACAGCAACAUAGACAUCACAGAAUCCUCAUAAGAUAAAGAUGUUCUUUGAGACCAGGACAAAGGCCUACUGCUGAAUUCACAGAAACAACAGGAUCCACCAAAGUUGAGGAGGAGGAGACGACAGCAGCCGAAGACCUGCAGUGGAUGAAAGAAAACAAGUGUUACAAGCUGUUACUUAGAUAAAAGUUCUCCACUGUCUAACCUUUGUUAGUGCUGGUUAGGAUUAAUGUACUUGAGGACAUUUUCCAAAGCCUAAUAUGUCUUUAUUACACACGUGUGAGAACUUAUAAUACAAUUACUUAAUAAUUGCAUCACAAAGAUGCUUAGUAGACAUGUUUGGAAAAUGUGCUCAUAACCAACUCUAACAAGUGUUUCCUUGUGGUUAUAUGUUGUCUGGAAUAAAAUGAUUAAAACUGUCUUCUA